rnacentral:rRNA from 1 species
GACGUAGGGGGCGAGCGUUGUCCGGAUUCAUUGGGCGUAAAGCGCGCGUAGGCGGCCCGGUAAGUCGGAUGUGAAAUCUCACGGCUCAACCGUGGAACUGCAUUCGAAACUGUCGGGCUAGAGGCAGGUAGGGGAGAUCGGAAUUCCCGGUGUAGCGGUGAAAUGCGCAGAUAUCGGGAGGAACACCGGUGGCGAAGGCGGAUCUCUGGGCCUUACCUGACGCUGAGGAGCGAAAGCGUGGGGAGCGAACAGG